rnacentral:rRNA from 1 species
GAAAGAUGAAAAGAACUUUGAAAAGAGAGUUAAAUAGUACGUGAAAUUGUUGAAAGGGAAACGAUUGAAGCCAGUCGUACCUUCGGGUAAUCAGCCUUUCGGGUGCGAUUCUGUGGGGUUUGAGGAGCUUAACACCUUCAUGCUUUGCAUAUUCGUGCUCUUGGGUGUACUUGCUCGUAUGGUUGGUUAACAUCAAUUUUGGUGGUCAUAAAAUGACUGGAGGAAUGUAGCUUCGAUCUCGUAUUGAAGUGUUAUA